GUAGAGUGUCAGGGUGGUAGAGUGGUAGAGUGUCAGGGUGGUAGAGUGGUAUAGUGUCAGGGUGGUAGAGUGUCAGGGUGGUAGAGUGUCAGGGUGGUAGAGUGGUAUAGUGUCAGGGUGGUAGAGUGGUAUAGUGUCAGGGUGGUAGAGUGUCAGGGUGGUACAGUAUCAGGGUGGUAGAGUGUCAGGGUGGUAGAGUGUCAGGGUGGUAGAGUGUCAGGAUGGUAUAGUGUCAGGGUGGUAGAGUGUCAGGGUGGUAGAGUGGUAUAGUGUCAGGGUGGUAGAGUGGUAGAGUGUCAGGGUGUCAGGGUGGUAUAGUGUCAGGGUGGUAGAGUGUCAGGAUGGUAGAGUGUCAGGGUGGUAGAG
ensembl:lncRNA